rnacentral:lncRNA from 1 species
UACGAGAUAUUUUUUAAAAGAUAAAAUCGUGAGAUCCGUGAGUUAGAAUGGACAAUAUCUUAUGUGCUAAGCUAUAACUCUUUGAACGCAACAAAAAUUAUUUUGAAUAUUUGCUAAGUCAGAUUGUAGUCUUAAGCCAUUUAGCUAACAUUAUGGUAGCUCCAUUAGCCUUUAAUCGACCACAUUUAUUACCGUAAACUAGUAUUUCACAUUUACCAUGCACGUGUCUACCAAAGG